UACGUAGGGUGCGAGCGUUAAUCGGAAUUACUGGGCGUAAAGCGUGCGCAGGCGGUUUUUUAAGUCAGGCGUGAAAUCCCCGGGCUUAACCUGGGAACUGCGCUUGUGACUGGAAGGCUAGAGUACGGCAGAGGGGGGUGGAAUUCCACGUGUAGCAGUGAAAUGCGUAGAGAUGUGGAGGAACACCGAUGGCGAAGGCAGCCCCCUGGGCCGAUACUGACGCUCAUGCACGAAAGCGUGGGGAGCAAACAGG
rnacentral:rRNA from 1 species